GGCAGCAGCUAAGAAUAUUCCGCAAUGGACGAAAGUCUGACGGAGCGACGCCGCGUGGAUGAUGAAGGCCGGAAGGUUGUAAAAUCCUUUUAUGACUGAGGAAUAAGUGAAGUGAGAGAAACGCUUCAUGGUGACUGUAGGUCAUGAAUAAGCAACGGCUAAUUACGUGCCAGCAGCCGCGGUAACACGUAAGUUGCGAGCGUUGUUCGGAAUUAUUGGGCGUAAAGGGCAUGUAGGCGGUUCUGCAAGUCUGGUGUGAAAUACCGGGGCUCAACCCCGGAACCGCGUUGGAAACUGCAGAACUUGAGUCGCUGAGGGGCAGCCAGAAUUCCAGGUGUAGGGGUGAAAUCUGUAGAUAUCUGGAAGAAUACCAAUGGCGAAGGCAGGCUGCCAGCAGAUGACUGACGCUGAGGUGCGAAGGUGCGGGGAGCAAACAGGAUUAGAUACCCUGGUAGUCCGCACAGUCAACUAUGUACACUAGGUGUCCGCUCAUGAGAGUGGGUGCCGAAGCAAACGCGAUAAGUGUACCGCCUGGGGAGUAUGCCCGCAAGGGUGAAACUCAAAGGAAUUGACGG
rnacentral:rRNA from 1 species